UAACGGUCUUAUCGAAGCCAGUUAUUUCGUUCCUAUGAAAUAACUGGUCAUAUCUGACCAAAAGAAAUGUUUUAAUGACGGUCGCUAGUUCACCAGCUUAAUGUGGAUAUUGCAUCACUACUGAAACGAACAAUA
rfam:Ciona intestinalis ciona0040, whole genome shotgun sequence.